UCAAAGGAAUUGACGGGGACCCGCACAAGCAGCGGAGCGUGUGGUUUAAUUCGUUGCUACACGAAGAACCUUACCUGGGUUUGACAUAUAAGUUGUAGGGAACUGAAAAGGGACCGACCUUCGGGGAGCUUAUACAGGUGUUGCAUGGCUGUCGUCAGCUCGUGUCGUGAGAUGUUCGGUUAAGUCCGCUAACGAGCGCAACCCUCGCCGUAUGUUACAAGUGUCAUACGGGACUGCCGGUAAAAGCCGGAGGAAGGUGAGGAUGAUGUCAAGUCAGCAUGACCUUUAUAUCCAGGGCUACACACACGCUACAAUGGUCUGUACAAUUGGUUGCCAAGCCGCGAGGCGGAGCCAAUCCGUAAAGCAGGCCUCAGUUCAGAUUGCAGUCUGCAACUCGACUGCAUGAAGCCGGAGUUGCUAGUAACCGCAGGUCAGCAAUACUGCGGUGAAUACGUUCCCGGGUCUU
rnacentral:rRNA from 1 species